rnacentral:rRNA from 1 species
GCACUGGGCUGGUACUGACCCUGAGAGACGAAAGCGUGGGGAGCAAAACGGAUUAGAUACCCGUGUAGUCCACGCCGUUAAACGAUGGAUACUAGAUGUUCGGGGAUUCGACCCCCUGGGUGUCACAGCUAACGCGUUAAGUAUCCCGCCUGGGAAGUACGGCCGCAAGGCUAAAACUCAAAGGAAUAGACGGGGAUCCGCACAAGCGGUGGAGCGUCUGGUUUAAUUUGAUAGUAAGCGAUGGACCUCACCAAGGUUUGACAUCCUAUGACAACCCUGGAAACAGGGCUUCCUUCGGGCAUAGUGACAGGUGCUGCAUGGUCGUCGUCAGUUCGUGCCGUGAGGUGUUCCGUUAAGUCGGGAAACGAACGAAACCCUCGUCGCAUGUUACAAAUUUCAUGCGAGACUGCCCGGGUCAACCGGGAGGAAGGCGGGGAUGACGUCAGAUCAGCAUGGCCCUUAUACCUUGGGCUACACAGGCGCUACAAUGGCCGGUACAAAGGGUUGCAAAACCGCGAGGUGAAGCUAAUCCCAUAAAGCCGGUCCAAGUUCGGAUUGGAGGCUGCAACUCGCCUCCAUGAAGUUGGAAUCGCUAGUAAUCGUGGAUCAGCCAUACCACGGUGAAUACGUUCCCGGAUCUUGUACUCACCGCCCGUCACACCAAGAGAGUUGGUAGCUCCUGAAGC